GAAGCCUUUAGUGCUGAAAACCUUAAGCUAUGACCUUCUAUGACAAUACUUAAUUUUUAAAUAUAUUUAUUCUUCCGCAGGUUAAGAAAUUGAUUCUCCCGCAGAAACAAUGGAUUUCGGUGUAGCGGAACUGUUACGUGGAGAUGCUAAGAUGCAAAGGUACAUUUCAAAACACGCCGGACAAUAUUGGCUGGAAAAUGACUUGGUUAAAACCUGAUGAUCUUACCAGGUAUGUGUUCGACUAGUACUUCGAAUGUCUAUAUGUUUAGUCCACGUGUAGAUUAAAUGAGAAAAAUAUUUUUGUUUUUUAACAGCAUUCUGCAGGUUGAUGAAUACUAAUGAAGCUGUGGAUGUCACUGAGCAGCUUCAUUUUAAAUGAGGGGUUGCUGUCUGCCUGCUGUCUGCCUGGUAUGCUGUGACAUUUCGAAGGUGGAAACAUUUCUGGCUAGUGCUGCGAGAUUUACUUGUCUGUCUUAUGAAAAUCUGGUGAUUGGGAAAACCUCCAAUGGAUGUGGGAAGAAAGUUCAAGAUGAAUUACAUUUUUACAUUGGUUUGUAAAUAGAUUCUGAACCAGCAUCGAGUCUAGAUAAUGCAUCCAUAAGAGUCAAGGCAUUUCUGUUUGACCAUGACACUGCUGUAGAAUCAUAACCUGUUAAUCAGUGUAUUACUUUCUAACUAUUUUGAAUGGAAAAUUCUUUUCUAGUUAUCUAGCCUUGUAAUUAAAUAAUUUUGAAUAGCCUUUGGUUCUUUGUCUGAAUUGAGUUUAAAACUGUGUGAUUGUAAUUACACCAAGUUAAAGUGUGUACUCUUGCGGUGGAAUCUUCAGUCAGGUUUCUAGGAAGAGAUGAUUUGGUUUGGCAAGAAUAAGUAAUGUGCAAAACAUUAGCUUCAGAGUGUUGGGGUGAGAGCAAAGUGGGAAAGAUGGGACCUGUUAACAGUGAGGGAACGUCACUGAUAAAAUCUGGGUUAAAACUGGUCAAGCAUUGUAUGGAAUGGGUUAGUGUAAAUAAUAGCAUCUAAUCUAACCAAGGUGGUUGGGCCCUGCUGCUCCUGCUAAGUCACUUCAGUCAUGUCCGACUCUGCGACCCCAUGGACAGCAGCCCAUCAGGCUCCUCUGUCCACGGGAUUCUCUAGGCAAGAACACUGGAGUGGGUUGCCAUUUCCUUCUCUGGUUGGGCCCUAACCCUAAUCAUUUUCCCUAAAUAGC
rnacentral:lncRNA from 1 species